GCUGAAACAUUAGUUCCUGUACGAUCACCGAAGUUAAGCCAUGUCGAGUCUGGUCUGUACUUAGAUGGGCGACCGCUUGGGAAUACCAGGUGCUGAAA